rnacentral:rRNA from 9 species
AAAUUGAAGAGUUUGAUCAUGGCUCAGAUUGAACGCUGGCGGCAGGCCUAACACAUGCAAGUCGAACGGUAACAGGAAGCAGCUUGCUGCUUUGCUGACGAGUGGCGGACGGGUGAGUAAUGUCUGGGAAACUGCCUGAUGGAGGGGGAUAACUACUGGAAACGGUGGCUAAUACCGCAUAACGUCGCAAGACCAAAGAGGGGGACC